GCGCAUGCGCGCGGCGACCUGUGCGCUCGGGUUCUGUGCCGGCUUUUACCCCAGCUGAAUAACCUGGUGGUCACAAGAAAGCAAAGGGAUUUUUAUGUGACAUCAUCUUGGCAAGAAGCUCCCUUACCAACCUUGACCUCCAGGUCUCCAUGGCAACUGCUGCUGGGACAUCAUUGGCACCAGAUUGUGUCCCUUAAAGGCCACACUGCAGCAAGGGCAGAUAAACAAUUUCAUGGCAA
rnacentral:lncRNA from 1 species